GAUAUAGCUUCUUCACCUUAAGAUCCACAAAAUGAUAUUGACGUCUACUGUACAGAAGGAUUCAAAGACUCAACGAUUCAUAAAGACGCCCAAGUACUUGGAGUGCAAGAAUGAAAAUUCAUCGAUCACUUUCAUGUGUCAUGUUCCGACUUGCACGCCGUGACAUAAAAGAUUAUAAAUGGAGAGUUUCGAAUGACCUAACUAAUUGAUAGCAAAGGUAAUACCAUAUUGGAGUGUAACUGUUAAUAUUAGUUGCAGUCAAAAGAAGUCAAUUCAUUCCAAUAUUUUUUUUUCCAUUUAAAUGUAUGUCCUUGGCAAUCAAACCAGUAAUUACAUGAAGUCGGACUGAACGUAUUCCAUUAUUUCAUCCACAUUUUCAACAUCAAAAUUACCUCAAUGAAAUCGAAAAAAACAAAAUUUGUGGGUGAUUGACUGUUACCGUAUCGGAACUAUAACCACUAUUCACAUUUUCAGCCACCUGACUUGCAUUUUUGCCUUGUUGGAAGAAAAACUACAAAAUAUGUCAUUUUUCUCUUUGUUAGUGUCCAUCUUUGACAACACCUCAAACAAAACUGAGUCAAAACAUCACAAAAUUGUCAAAUACAUUUUUUUAGUACGAAAAUUUAUCUUUCUAACAUCAUCCAGUAUAAGCCAAUCACUCUUAUAUAACACAAGAUACACAUUACUACAUCCAUCUACUCCAAAAAUAAUUUAUUUCUGUUUACUGAGCCUUUUUAGUUGUUAUACAAAAUGUAGAAAUUUUUAAAUAAAAAUUCUUUAAUUCA
rnacentral:lncRNA from 1 species